UCAAAAAGAUUUUCAAACAUGGUUAAUUAUACUUUGAAGGAGAAGCUGUGCUGAGCUGAAGAAAUUCUGUGAAGAGCAAGGGAUAUCAGUAUCUUGGAGAGACUCAAGAAACAGGGAUUGAGACAGAGAGCUACAGCACUGUGGGAGGCUAUAGAGGCAGAGAAACGUGGGGCACCUUAAUAAGAUGAGGACAUUUCAGCUUAUAGAAAAUAAGAAACUUGUGCAAGACAGCACCACCCCCAAUACAAGACUAAACUGGACUUUAACACAAGCCUGUCUGAUUCCAAAGUCCAUGUUAUUAACCAGUGCUCUGUGAUGUUUUUUAUCUUUCAUGAUCAGUCUCUGUUUACCCUCUUAUUAAA